rnacentral:rRNA from 1 species
GACGAACGCUGGCGGCGUGCUUAACACAUGCAAGUCGAACGAAGUGGCGAACGGGUGAGUAACGCGUAAUCAACCUGCCCUUCAUAGGGGGCCGACACGUGGGCACAACUGCUAAUACCGCAUCCUGAAUGAGGGGAUUGCGUGUGAUUAGCUAGUUGGAGGGGUAACGCCCCACCAAGGCGAUGAUCAGUCGACGGUAGGAGAGGAUGAACGGCCACAUUGGGACUGCGACACGGCCCAGACUCCUACGGGAGGGAGCAGGGGUGAAACUGGCGGAAUGGAGGGAAGUUUGACGGAGCAAAGCCGAGUGAGGGAGGACGGCCGUCGGGUGGGAAAGCUCUGUUAAUGGGGACUCGGUACCGGAAUAGAAAGCAACGGCUAACUACGUGCCAGCAGCCGCGGUAAUAC